GUCGGAGCGAAUGAUGAGGAGCUUGCUCCUCUGAUUUAGCGGCGGACGGGUGAGUAACACGUGGGUAAUCUGCCUGUAAGACGGGGAUAACUCCGGGAAACCGGGGCUAAUACCGGAUAAUAAGAGAAGAAGCAUUUCUUCUUUUUGAAAGUCGGUUUCGGCUGACACUUACAGAUGAGCCCGCGGCGCAUUAGCUAGUUGGUGAGGUAACGGCUCACCAAGGCGACGAUGCGUAGCCGACCUGAGAGGGUGAUCGGCCACACUGGGACUGAGACACGGCCCAGACUCCUACGGGAGGCAGCAGUAGGGAAUCUUCGGCAAUGGGCGAAAGCCUGACCGAGCAACGCCGCGUGAGCGAUGAAGGCCUUCGGGUCGUAAAGCUCUGUUGUUAGAGAAGAACAAGUACGAGAGUAACUGCUCGUACCUUGACGGUACCUAACCAGAAAGCCACGGCUAACUACGUGCCAGCAGCCGCGGUAAUACGUAGGUGGCAAGCGUUAUCCGGAAUUAUUGGGCGUAAAGCGCGCGCAGGCGGUCUCUUAAGUCUGAUGUGAAAGCCCACGGCUCAACCGUGGAGGGUCAUUGGAAACUGGGAGACUUGAGUGCAGGAGAGAAAAGUGGAAUUCCACGUGUAGCGGUGAAAUGCGUAGAGAUGUGGAGGAACAC
rnacentral:rRNA from 1 species